GUGUCAGCCGCCGCGGUAAUACGUAGGUGGCAAGCGUUGUCCGGAAUUAUUGGGCGUAAAGAGCGUGUAGGUGGGAUGAUAAGUCUAUCUUAAAAGUGCGGGGCUCAACCCCGUGAUGGGAUGGAAACUAUCAUUCUUGAGUGCAGGAGAGGAAAGCGGAAUUCCCAGUGUAGCGGUGAAAUGCGUAGAUAUUGGGAGGAACACCAGUGGCGAAGGCGGCUUUCUGGACUGUGUCUGACACUGAGGCGCGAAAGCCAGGGGAGCGAACGGGAUUAGAUACCCCGGUAGUCCUGGCCGUAAACGAUGGGUACUAGGUGUAGGAGGUAUCGACCCCUUCUGUGCCGGAGUUAACGCAAUAAGUACCCCGCCUGGGGAGUACGGCCGCAAGGUUGAA
rnacentral:rRNA from 1 species